rnacentral:rRNA from 1 species
CGGGGUGAGUAACGCGUGGAUAACCUGCCUCACACUGGGGGAUAACAGUUAGAAAUGGCUGCUAAUACCGCAUAAGCGCACAGUACCGCAUGGUACGGUGUGAAAAACCCAGGUGGUGUGAGAUGGAUCCGCGUCUGAUUAGCCAGUUGGCGGGGUAACGGCCCACCAAAGCGACGAUCAGUAGCCGACCUGAGAGGGUGACCGGCCACAUUGAGACUGAGACACGGCCCAA